AUUCAGCUGACGAGUCCAAAAUAGGACGAAACGGACGUUCUGGAU
rfam:Schistosoma mansoni strain Puerto Rico chromosome 1, complete genome